rnacentral:rRNA from 1 species
CCGCGGUAAUACGUAGGGACCAAGCGUUGUUCGGAUUUACUGGGCGUAAAGGGCGCGUAGGCGGCUUGACAAGUCACUUGUGAAAUCUCCGGGCUUAACUCGGAACGGCCAAGUGAAACUGUCAUGCUAGAGUGCAGAAGGGGCAAUCGGAAUUCUUGGUGUAGCGGUGAAAUGCGUAGAUAUCAAGAGGAACACCUGAGGUGGAGACGGGUUGCUGGGCUGACACUGACGCUGAGGCGCGAAAGCCAGG